UACGUAGGGUGCAAGCGUUGUCCGGAAUUAUUGGGCGUAAAGAGCGCGCAGGCGGUCGUUCAAGUCGCGUGUGAAAGCCCCCGGCUCAACUGGGGAGGGUCACGCGAUACUGAUCGACUGGAAGGCAGGAGAGGGUAGUGGAAUUCCCGGUGUAGUGGUGAAAUGCGUAGAUAUCGGGAGGAACACCGGUGGCGAAGGCGGCCCCCUGGACCGGUACUGACGCUGAGGCGCGAAAGCGUGGGUAGCAAACGGG
rnacentral:rRNA from 1 species